AUGGGUCGUUGGAUGGUCAGAGUGGAAGUUUACAAUCACUCCUUCAACCACUCAGGUGGUUGGCAUCUUGAAAAUCAGGUUCAUUAUUAUGAAGAUGGUAAUGUUCAACUAGUGAGUCAUAAAGAUAUACAAGAUUCCCUAAACAGUGUCUAAUGAGGUGCAAACAGCAAAAGAAUUUAUAAAGAUUGUAGAGGCUGCAGAAAAUGAAUACCAGGUAUGAGUUUCAAAAAUAUUAUAUAAUCUAUGUUUGCUUAUAAAUAUUGGCACUGAAAUUUUAAUUUCAGUUAUAAGCUUGAACUUUUUCAUCAUUUCACUAUAAUAAGAUAGUUUUUUUUCAUUUUAAUUCAAGAGCAGACUUGUGAAAAUGUAGUAAAAACUAAGUUUUAGCCAACUGUAAUUUCUGAGUACUGGUCAAAGUAGACCAAGAUUUUAUAUGGCUAUUUUGUUUCUGACUAGGAAAAUCCCAUGGACGGAGCAGCCUGGUAGGCUACAGUCCAUGGGGCCGCUAAGAGUUGGACACGACUGAGCGACUUCACUUUCACUUUUCACUUUCAUGCAUUGGAGAAGGCAAUGGCAACCCACUCCAGUGUUCUUGCCUGGAGAAUCCCAGGGAUGGGGCAGCCUGCUCGGCUGCCGUCUAUGGGGUCGCACAUAGUCGGACACAACUGAGGUGACUUAGCAGUAGCAGCAGAAAUUCUAAUAUAGGAGGUGUUUCCCAGAACAGUUAGAUUAUAUGUGAUCUGCUUAGAUCAUAGUUCAUUUUAUACUCUGCUUUUUAUAAUACAUUCUUUAUCAGCUUCUAAAUUGCAUUCUUGAAUUUAAGCAUUUAUGUAUUGGACAUGUUUCCACUCCUCGCAAAUAGUAUUUGUGAAAUUGUUCUGAGAGAAAUAAUAAAAUAGAUCCAAAACAAGAACA
rnacentral:lncRNA from 1 species